CUUAGAAGGUCCCUGUAAGGUCAGAAGUCACUGCUCAUCCCUGCUAAAGACCAUGGAGCCUCUGACCAAGGAGGCAACUAGAACAGGUGUCACUGUGGCAACCGGCAGCACCCAGGUGUAGCCGGGCCCCACCUCCCCUCAGCUGCACCAGUGUUUCUUCUCUGCCUCGGGCUCCUCCACUGCCGCAUGUGGGCUGACUGGGAGGGCCU
rnacentral:lncRNA from 1 species